GAGGGUGUAGCUCAGUGGUAGAGCACGUGCUUAGGAUGCAGGAUGUCCUGGGUUCCAUCCCCAGUAUCUCCA
rnacentral:tRNA from 1 species